AACGAACGCUGGCGGCAUGCCUAACACAUGCAAGUCGAACGAGACCUUCGGGUCUAGUGGCGCACGGGUGCGUAACGCGUGGGAACCUGCCUUUAGGUUCGGAAUAACUCAGAGAAAUUUGAGCUAAUACCGGAUGAUGUCUUCGGACCAAAGAUUUAUCGCCUUUAGAUGGGCCCGCGUUGGAUUAGCUAGUUGGUGGGGUAAAGGCCUACCAAGGCGACGAUCCAUAGCUGGUCUGAGAGGAUGAUCAGCCACACUGGGACUGAGACACGGCCCAGACUCCUACGGGAGGCAGCAGUGGGGAAUAUAGGACAAUGGGCGAAAGCCUGAUCCAGCAAUGCCGCGUGAGUGAUGAAGGCCUUAGGGUCGUAAAGCUCUUUUACCCGAGAUGAUAAUGACAGUAUCGGGAGAAUAAGCUCCGGCUAACUCCGUG
rnacentral:rRNA from 1 species